UUUAUUCAGACUUUUUGCACUUUUAAUUUUGCUUGAAAAAGUCACCAACCUUUUGACGUGAAGGUACAUAUUUGUGAUACCCACCCCCAGUUACUCAGUUGGUCACCUUUCCAAGUGGCUACUAGCUCUGUUCUUAGUCUUUUGACCAUUGGAACAGUUUUUGAUUUGUGCUUUUGAGGUCUUUGCCUUUGCUGAAUUUUCUUUCUCUCAAUGAUUUGGGCAAAUCAACACCAAUUGCUAAAUCAAGUCAC
rnacentral:lncRNA from 1 species